rnacentral:rRNA from 1 species
GAUGAACGCUGGCGGCGUGCUUAACACAUGCAAGUCGAACGGGAAACCUUUUAUUGAAGCUUCGGCAGAUUUAGCUGGUUUCUAGUGGCGGACGGGUGAGUAACGCGUGGGUAACCUGCCUUAUACAGGGGGAUAACAGUCAGAAAUGGCUGCUAAUACCGCAUAAGCGCACAGAGCUGCAUGGCUCAGUGUGAAAAACUCCGGUGGUAUAAGAUGGACCCGCGUUGGAUUAGCUGGUUGGUGGGGUAACGGCCCACCAAGGCGACGAUCCAUAGCCGGCCUGAGAGGGUGAACGGCCACAUUGGGACUGAGACACGGCCCAGACUCCUACGGGAGGCAGCAGUGGGGAAUAUUGCACAAUGGGGGAAACCCUGAUGCAGCGACGCCGCGUGAAGGAAGAAGCAUCUCGGUAUGUAAACUUCUAUCAGCAGGGAAGAUAAUGACGGUACCUGACUAAGAAGCCCCGGCUAACUACGUG